CAAGCUACUAAGGGUCUACGAUGGAUGCCUUGGCGCUAGGAGCCGAAGAAGGACGCGGCAGGCUGCGAAAAGCCCCGGGGAGCUGUCAAGCGAGCUUCGAUCCGGGGAUGUCCGAAUGGGGAAACCCGACUGGGGUAAUGCCUGGUCACUCCGGUCUGAAUAUAUAGGGCCGAGAGAGGGAACCGGGGGAAUUGAAACAUCUCAGUACCCCGAGGAACGGAAAGCAAGAGCGACUUCCCGAGUAGCGGCGAGCGAAAGGGAAUGAGCCUAAACCGGUGUGGUGGAAUAGCCCGGUGGCGUUGCCAUACCGAGGUCGUGGGACCUACCCGACGGGACACCGGACCCGUCAAGGAGUUACAAAAUCGAGCGUUAGCUGAACCUGUCUGGAACGACAGGCCGCAGAAGGUAACAGCCCUGUAGGCGAAGGCGUAUCGAUCUCCUGGUGGAGUUCCCAAGUAGCACGGGGGAUAUCCCGUGUGAAUCUGCGAGGACCACCUCGUAAGGCUAAGUACUUCCUAGCGACCGAUAGUGAACUAGUACCGUGAGGGAAAGGUGAAAAGCACCCCGGUGAGGGGAGUGAAAGAGAACCUGAAAUCGUGGACCUACAAGCAGUGGGAGGGGAUCUUUGAUCCCUGACCGCCUGCCUUUUGAAGAAUGAGCCGGCGAGUCAGCAGUACGUGGCAAGGUUAAGGCGUGUGCCGAAGCCGCAGCGAAAGCGAGUCUGAAUAGGGCGUCGAGUCGCGUGCUCUGGACCCGAAUCCGAGUGAUCUAUCCAUGGGCAGGGUGAAGCGAGGGUAAGACCUCGUGGAGGCCCGAACCCACCAAGGUUGAAAACUUGGGGGAUGACCUGUGGAUAGGGGUGAAAGGCCAAGCAAACUCGGUGAUAGCUGGUUCUCCCCGAAAUAGCUUUAGGGCUAGCGUUGUAUGUUUCGCCAUGGGGGUAGAGCACUGAUUGGGCUAGGGGGCCAACAAGCUUACCGAUCCCAGUCAAACUCCGAAUCUCAUGGCUUUAGAAUACAGCAGUCAGACUGCGGGGGAUGAGCUUCGUAGUCGAAAGGGAAACAGCCCAGACCGCCAGCUAAGGCCCCUAAAUCCGAACUUAGUGGGAAACGAUGUGGAGUCGCCCAAACAGCCAGGAGGUUGGCUUAGAAGCAGCCAUCCUUGAAAGAGUGCGUAACAGCUCACUGGUCGAGUGAUUCUGCGCGGAAAAUGUAACGGGGCUCAAGUUCGGUGCCGAAGCUGCGGGAUUCUGUCAUGAGCUCGACCUGUACCCCAAGGGGUGCGGGUCCAGGCGACAGGAUCGGUAGGGGAGCGUCGAGCAGCCCUCGAAGCGGCGGCGUGAGCCAGCCGUGGAGGCUGCCCGAGUGCGAAUGCCGGCAUGAGUAGCGAAAGAGGAGUGAGAAUCUCCUCCGCCGAAUGUCCAAGGGUUCCUGGGGAAGGUUCGUCCGCCCAGGGUUAGUCGGGACCUAAGGUGAGGCCGAAAGGCGUAAUCGAUGGAGAACGGGUUGAUAUUCCCGUACCGCCUCGCGUGCGAUCCGGCCAAACCCAGUGUGCUAAGGAAAGCCCUUCGGGGCCUACCGACCCCGCUGGUAGUAGGCGAACAAUGGGGUGACGCGGAAGGGUAAGCGGACCCGGGCGUUGGUUGACCCGGGGUAAGUGUGUAGGGAGAGGUCCAGGCAAAUCCGGACCUCGUGAUUCCCGAGGCACGAUGCCGAGCCGAUUCAGGCGAAGCCGCUGAACGCCCAAGCCGCCAAGAAAAACCUCUAGUGAGUGCGCAGGCGCCCGUACCCCAAACCGACACAGGUGGACAGGUAGAGAAUACCAAGGCGAGCGAGAGAACCCUGGUUAAGGAACUCGGCAAAUUGGCCCCGUAACUUCGGGAGAAGGGGCGCCCCGGUAAGGUGUAGGACUUGCGUCCGAAGCCUGAGGGGGCCGCAGAAACCAGGCCCAAGCGACUGUUUACUAAAAACACAGGAGCGUGCUAAGUCGCAAGACGACGUAUACGCUCUGACGCCUGCCCGGUGCCGGAAGGUCAAGCGGAGGGGUUAGCCGUAAGGCGAAGCUCUGAAGUCAAGCCCCGGUAAACGGCGGCCGUAACUAUAACGGUCCUAAGGUAGAAGCACUCUUCGUGCAAGAGUGUCUGCCCUCCGCGAUGGCGACAUCGCGGGUUGCAGCUGGCUAUAUGCUGGAAACCCCGUGUAUCCGACAGUACUCAUUCACGUCACACCCUCUCCGGAGGGCGGAGACAUGGAUAGUGAAAAUCUGAUCGGUGCGGACAAUCAGCAGGAAAGGUCAGGAAUUGAGCAGUGGGUCGUCGGCUUUGUCGACGGCGAGGGCUGUGUCCGAUCUGCAAAGAUCGCGGACAGCCGACAUGACAAACCCAUCGAGUGAAACUCGUGCGCUUCUUCGUGAAGCAACCGAGCGGACCUCCUGGAUGUCACAGCCGUUCUUCGAAGAGCACACACUGAUAACCGUCAAGCGAGCGGACUUGCAGAGGUUCGCAGCGAGCGGUCUCGAUUCCUGGAAUCCUCAGAGGCCAUACGCCAGCCAACUCGGCAUCGACUGUCGAGUCGAAGAUAUGGUCCUAUCCUCAUGGCGACAUGGGGGCACAAUAGAGCGAAAUUCCUUGUCGGGUAAGUUCCGACCUGCACGAAUGGCGUAACGACUUGGGCACUGUCUCAACCAGGGACUCGGCGAAAUUGCAUUGUGAGUAAAGAUGCUCACUACCCGCGACAGGACGGAAAGACCCCGGAACCUUUACUGCAACUUGGCAUUGGAGUCUGGUAUACGAUGUGUAGGAUAGGUGGGAGACUUGGAAGCGUCGGCGUCAGCCGGCGUGGAGUCGCCCUUGAAAUACCACCCUUCGUAUAGCGGGCUUCUAACCUCGAUCCGUUAUCCGGAUCAGGGACAGUGCCUGGUGGGCAGUUUCACUGGGGCGGUGGCCUCCUAAAGAGUAACGGAGGCGCCCAAAGGUUCCCUCAGCCUGGUCGGCAAUCAGGCGUUGAGUGUAAAGGCACAAGGGAGCUUGACUGUGAGACCUACAAGUCGAGCAGGGACGAAAGUCGGGCUUAAUGAUCCCAUGGUGGCAUGUGGAAGCGCCAUGGCUCAUCGGCUAAAAGGUACUCCGGGGAUAACAGGCUUAUCGCGCCCAAGAGUCCAUAUCGACGGCGCGGUUUGGCACCUCGAUGUCGGCUCGUCGCAUCCUGGGGCUGGAGCAGGUCCCAAGGGUCGGGCUGUUCGCCCGUUAAAGCGGCACGCGAGCUGGGUUUAGAACGUCGUGAGACAGU
rnacentral:rRNA from 2 species